AGACAAGAUGGCAGCCCCGGCAGCGUGCACCUCUUUACUUCUAGCACCUGGGCCAGGAGAGAGGACUGUCUUUGCUACUUCUUACAAGAUGUUACUGAAGCUGUAAUCAACACGCCCUCAGAACGUAGGAAAUCAUGUUCACUCCCUUGAGGACGAAAGGUCUUUCCCCAAACUAGUUUGCAUUUUGGUUCAUAAAAUCGCCAUGGCUAAAUCUCUUACAAGAUUUGGUACGGAAGGGAGAGACAAGGCUUUAAAACAGUGUGAGCAUUUAGCAACAAGAGACAAAGCACCAUCACGGAGCAGAGAGCUGCCCUCACCAGACACCUGACCCUUCCCACACCUUGAGCUUGGACUGCACAGACUCUAGAAGUACAAAACAGGAACAAGUCAAGCACAGACUUCUAUCCCUUACACAGGAACCCAGCCUACACCCAAGCUUUAGGCCACCGGCCGGUCUUCCUAGCGAGCGGUCUUUCUUCCCCUCCCAAGGGACCACGUCAAGGCAAACCAAGGUAGAAAAAUCUCUUUUCUUUCCCAUCUUUCUCAUGUGCAUGACAAGAGAAAAUGAAGGUACGCCGAGGCCCACACGGGACCGUGGGUGGAUGGAGCUGCCCAUAAAUCUUCAUUCACGACUUAGCUGGAAGGGGAGAGGGGAUGCCACUGGAUCUACCAACACCAUCCAUUUCUUUUCUGGGAGAUUCAGGUCCCAGGCUAGCCU